rnacentral:rRNA from 1 species
AGCUGAGUUUGAUCCUGGCUCAGGAUGAACGCUGGCGGCGUGCUUAACACAUGCAAGUCGAACGGUGAAAGAGAGCUUGCUCUCUGGAUCAGUGGCGAACGGGUGAGUAACACGUGAGCAAUCUGCCCCUGACUCUGGGAUAACAGUUGGAAACAGCUGCUAAUACUGGAUACGAGACGUGAAGGCAUCUUCAACGUCUGGAAAGAACUUCGGUCAGGGAUGAGCGUCGCGGCCUAUCAGCUAGUUGGUGAGGUAACUGGCUACGACCAAGG